GCGUGUGUGAAGAAGGUCUUCGGAUCGUAAAGCACUUUCGACGGGGACGAUGAUGACGGUACCCGUAGAAGAAGCCCCGGCUAACUUCGUGCCAGCAGCCGCGGUAAUACGAAGGGGGCUAGCGUUACUCGGAAUUACUGGGCGUAAAGGGCGCGUAGGCGGCGCUCCAAGUUAGGCGUGAAAGUCCUGGGCUCAACCUGGGAACUGCGCUUGAUACUGGAGUGCUUGAGGAUGGAAGAGGGUUGUGGAAUUCCCAGUGUAGAGGUGAAAUUCGU
rnacentral:rRNA from 1 species